GUGUGAAACUUGAUUGUUUAGACCAUUGGUUGUCGAGAUAUUGAAUCGGAUGGAUGUGUAGUUCAUCUAAUUAGCUGAUACACCAUGGCCAACCGCUGACGGUCACAUAUACAUGCCUGAAUUGUGGAUCUUCAUCUCUGCCAUUGCUGUUAAUAAAAAAGAUAAGCGGUAUCAUUUUAAAGGUCAAAGAUGACGUUAGACAGGCAUGCUUAAAGAGAUAAUUGUGAUGUGCGAUUGUUGUUGACUUCCUUUGGUAAGCAUUACUGCUGUUGGUAUACAGACAGACAACACUGUCCAUUCGACUUGAUUUAUAGAGCUAGGUCGUUUAAACAUUGUUGGCACUCAAACUUGGGCAAGGCUCCUCAGUUUACAGCGAGGGACACACUUUUUUGCCCGCAAGCGUAAACACACUGACGUGGGUCAAUGGUGCGAAAGCGAGUCCGAGUCAGCGUAAACAUUGUUAAAACGCAUUAGCUCUGAAAAUCAAGUUUAAUCGAUAGCGGGUUCGUUCUGUUUUCCAACAGCAGUACUGUUUACCAAAGGCAGAAAGUAAGGUCUUGCAUCAUCUUAUCUUUUUUUUCAGUGCUGCAGUAUAACGUAAACUCUGACAUUUUGUUGCAUAUGGACGUAUUCUAAUUUACCUAUAUAUGCUAAUACGUGUUUACGUUAUUUAUCUUCAACUAAAUUGGAAAACAAUAUAGCACAUGGUUAUUUGGAACACUUUACAAUUUAAUCAAUUUAUUUGGACACAAAAUAUUGGCGAUGUAUUCUUUGUCUGUAUUCAAUAAAUGUCGUGGUGGUAUCUCUAACAUAUGUUUGUUCAACAGCUGUCCGUGCAUUGGGAUAAGGGCAAGAACUCUACAUGGGCUCCGAGAAACCAUGACCAACCGCUGAAUGUCACCUAUGCCAGACUGAAGUAUGGACCGUCAUCUCUGCCAUUGUUGUGAAUAAAAAGAUAAGUGAUAUCAUUUUUAAAUGUCAAAGAUGACGUUAGACAGUUUUGCUUAAAGUGAUAAUUGUGAUGUGCGAUUGUUGUUGACUUGCUUUGGUAAUCAUUACUGCUGUUGGUAUGCAGACAGACAACACUGUCCAUUCGACUUGAUUAAUAGAGCUAGGACGUUUUAACAUCGUUGAAGCUCAAACUCGGGCAAGGCUCCUCAGUUUACAGCGAGGGACACACUUUUUUGCCCGCAAGCGUAAACGCACUGACGUGGGUCGAUGGUUCGAAAGCGAGUCCGAGUCAGCGUAAACAUUGUUUAAACGCCUAAGCUCUGAAAAUCAAGUCUAAUCGAUAGCGGGUUCGUUCUGUUUUCCAACAGCAAUACUGUUUACCAAAGGCAGUAAGCAAGGUCUUACAUAAUCUUAUCUCUUUUUUCAGUGCGGCAGUAUAACGUAAACUCUGACCUUUGUUACAAAUGGACGUAUUCUAAUUUGCCUAUAUUUGCUUAUACGUGCUUAUGUUAUUUAUCAGCAACUAAUUUGGAAAAAAAUAUAGCAAAUGGUUAUUUGGAACACUUUACAAUUUAAUCAAUAUAUUUGGUCAAAAAAUAUUGGCGACGCACUCUUUGUCCGUAUCUCAUAAACGUCGUGGUGGUAUCUCUAACAUAUCUUUGUUCAACAGCUGUUCGUGCAUUGGGAUAAGGGCAGGAACUUUACAUGGGUUCCGAUACACCCUGGCCAACCGCUGAAUGUCACCUAGUCAGUUUCCAGUUCGUGUCAGAUGGGACAUUAACACGAUCCGGUUCCACUGCUGAAGAAGUAUGGAGCAACGUUUACGGAUGCCACGAAGAUUCCUCAAUUUAGACGUUCCGUGCAGGCUGAACAUCGUUGUAUAUUGAAGAAAUUAGAGCGACUAAAUAAUAUUUUUUUAUAUUUAUGUGUAAAAAAACCCGUAAAAUACAAACACACA